GGACUACCCGGGUAUCUAAUCCCGUUUGCUCCCCUGGCUUUCGCACCUCAGCGUCGGUAACCAACCAGUGCACCGCUUUCGCCGCCGGCGUUCCUCCCGAUAUCAACGCAUUUCACCGCUCCACCGGGAAUUCCAUGCACCCCUUUGGUCCCCAAGCAACGCAGUAUCGGACGCAGUUCCUCGGUUGGGCCGAGGGAUUUCACAUCCGACUUACGCCGCCGCCUACGUGCGCUUUAUGCCCAGUGAUUCCGAACAACGCUCGCCACCUUCGUCUUACCGCGGCUGCUGGCAC
rnacentral:rRNA from 1 species